rnacentral:rRNA from 1 species
UACGUAGGGGCAAGCGUUGUCCGGAUUUAUUGGGCGUAAAGAGCGUGUAGGCCGCCUGAAAGGUCAGCUGUGAAAACUCGAGGCUCAACCUCGAGACGUCGGUUGAAACCAUCUGGCUAGAGUCCGGAAGAGGAGUGUGGAAUUCCCGGCGUAGCGGUGAAAUGCGCAGAUAUCGGGAAGAACACCCGUGGCGAAGGCGGCACUCUGGGACGGUACUGACGCUGAGACGCGAAAGCGUGGGGAGCGAACAGG